CCUACGGGAGGCUGCAGUGAGGAAUAUUGGUCAAUGGGCGGGAGCCUGAACCAGCCAAGCCGCGUGAGGGAAGAAGGUACAGCGUAUCGUAAACCUCUUUUGUCAGGGAACAAAGGCGGGGACUAGUCCCCGGAUGAGGGUACCUGAAGAAAAAGCAUCGGCUAACUCCGUGCCAGCAGCCGCGGUAAUACGGAGGAUGCGAGCGUUAUCCGGAUUUAUUGGGUUUAAAGGGAGCGUAGGCCGCAUGUCAAGCGUGCUGUGAAAUGUCCGGGCUCAACCCGGGCCUUGCAGCGCGAACUGGCGUGCUUGAGUCCGCGGAAAGCAGGCGGAAUUCGUCGUGUAGCGGUGAAAUGCUUAGAUAUGACGAAGAACCCCGAUUGCGAAGGCAGCUUGCUGCAGCGGAACUGACGCUGAUGCUCGAAAGCGCGGGUAUCGAACAGGAUUAGAUACCCUGGUAGUC
rnacentral:rRNA from 1 species